AGUGAACGCUGGCGGUAGGCCUUACACAUGCAAGUCGAACGGCAGCACAGGAGAGCUUGCUCUCUGGGUGGCGAGUGGCGGACGGGUGAGGAAUACAUCGGAAUCUACUCUGUCGUGGGGGAUAACGUAGGGAAACUUACGCUAAUACCGCAUACGACCUACGGGUGAAAGCAGGGGAUCUUCGGACCUUGCGCGAUUGAAUGAGCCGAUGUCGGAUUAGCUGGUUGGCGGGGUAAAGGCCCACCAAGGCGACGAUCCGUAGCUGGUCUGAGAGGAUGAUCAGCCACACUGGAACUGAGACACGGUCCAGACUCCUACGGGAGGCAGCAGUGGGGAAUAUUGGACAAUGGGCGCAAGCCUGAUCCAGCCAUACCGCGUGGGUGAAGAAGGCCUUCGGGUUGUAAAGCCCUUUUGUUGGGAAAGAAAUCCAGCCGGCUAAUACCCGGUUGGGAUGACGGUACCCAAAGAAUAAGCACCGGCUAACUUCGUGCCAGCCGCCGCGGUAA
rnacentral:rRNA from 1 species